rnacentral:rRNA from 1 species
UACUACCGAAGCUACGGCAUCAGUAAUGAUGGGUAGGGGAGCUUCCCAUACGGGUUGAAGCAUGACCGUAAGGACAUGUGGACAGUAUGGGAGUGAGAAUGUUGGCAUGAGUAGCGAGAUGUGGGUGAGAAUCCCACAGGCCGUAAACCCAAGGUUUCCAGGGGAAGGUUCGUCCGCCCUGGGUUAGUCGGGACCUAAGCUGAGGCCGAAAGGCGUAGGUGAUGGACAACAGGUUGAUAUUCCUGUACUACCGAUAACCGUUUGAGAGAAGGGAUGACACAGUAGGAUAAGCUAAGCACACUGUUGGUUAUGUGUGCCCAAGCAUUGAGGCAGUCAAAGUAGGCAAAUCCGCUUUGAUAAUGCUGGGAUGUGAUGGGGAGCGAAAUUUAGUAGCGAAGUAGCUGAUUUCACACUGUCAAGAAAAGUCUCUAUCGAGGUUAAAGGUACCCGUACCGCAAACCGACACAGGUGGGUGAGGAGAGUAUCCUAAGGCCAGCGAGAGAACUGUUGUUAAGGAACUCGGCAAAAUGACCCCGUAACUUAGGGAUAAGGGGUGCCACCAUCAGGUGGCCGCAGAGAAUAGGCCCAAGCGACUGUUUACCAAAAACAUAGGUUUCUGCUAAGUCGCAAGACGAUGUAUAGGAGCUGACGCCUGCCCGGUGCUGGAAGGUUAAGGGGAUCUGUUAGAG